rnacentral:lncRNA from 1 species
GGUAAGGGGGCAACCCUCGGAAUGUGAGCCUGUCGGGCCGUUCGCGGGCCUUUUGCGCAAGCGGAAAGAACGGAGGAGGGAGAGGGCAGGAGAUCAGGGGUUGCCGCGGUGAUGCAGUCCAUAGCCAAGGGUUUGAGGUGGGUCCUGGAUGCGAUAAAUGUCCAUAGAAAAAGACCACGCGCCGGGCCGAAGCGGGUACUCCUGUGUGUGAGCAACAACGUUGUGAUGUUAAACGGAAUCUUUGUGCUAAGCCCCGUUUCUUUUGAACCCUAUAUACAGCAGCCGCAGGCCUCAAGCCCUUAGCUGAGCUAAAUAUAAUGGAUCAUAUGACAUCAUGUAAACGAAUGAAAAACAAGUAAGGAUUUCGGACGGGGCUAUGUUCUAGGGACUACGUUCUCGUGGGUGCACAAGGACCGGACGGCUGCGGAUCGACUACGCAAAACGUGCUUUGCGUGAAACGCAAUUAUCUGUCCAAUACCAAUAAAAUGGAUCUUGGAUACUACACGCACUCCGAAGUUUAGCAAAACCAUGGACGGUAGCCUACCGUAAGCUCUUGUCGCCAGCUAAUCGCCAGCUCAGUAGCUCACAAUAGGAGAAAUCCUACUGGCUGGUCUCCUGCGCUACUUCAGGCACACAAGUAGUCGACGAGAGGCACUUCUGCAUGUUCUGCAUCAGUUUACACAAUUUAUUGUUCGUCACCAAAUCAUUGCAUGUCUCUAAU